CCCGCGUGCUCGUGCCCUAGCCUCGCGACACCCUUUCUUCUUCUCCGCCACUUCCUUCUCUUCCUCAACCGACGGCAACAUGACGCUCCUCCUUCCCGAGCGUAUAAAACCCAAGCUGAUCCCCUUCCCCUUCUUCCCCCCUUCACAUCACCGCCUCGAUUCUUCUAUGUUGAGCUCGUGCCACCGAUUUCUUCCUUCCCGAGCUGUACGCCGCUAGUCUCCUCUUCCUUCCUUUGAUCAUCAUCAUCGCCAGCUAAAGUUUCCCUCUCCCAAUCGACUACUUGUGUCCUAGCUCCAAAUCAAUCACAUCUCUCUUGGUCGAUUCUUCUUCCUCUACCCUUGAUUGCUACCCAACGCCAGCUACCAUCUCUCUACGCUAGCGCCGGCCAGCCGAACCCUAGUUUUCCUCGAUGUUGAUCACCACAGAGAGACCGCCGGCAGCAUCCUUUCUUUCUACCCUAGCUCAGAAGUUACAGGGUUCCAGCAUCAACGAUCCUUGGUUGUGGAUCAACGGAUGAGGGUUGUAAGGUGAGGUUGAGUGCUGUGGAUCAACCAGCACGACAUGUGAGGUAGAGGUAUUGUGUCAUGUGGAUUUGAAAUUGUGUGUUGUGGGUUGCUCUUUGAUCUAGCAGCUCACCUUGGUUUCGGCAGGACCACCUUCCAGCAGCAAUCUUUUUGGCUGAGCUUGAGGAUUCAGAUUCGGGAUGAGCACUUUGACAUAGAGGCUGAAUAGCUCGAUCUACAAUGGAGGCGGG